AGUGAACGCUGGCGGCAGGCCUAACACAUGCAAGUCGAACGGCAGCACAGUAAGAGCUUGCUCUUAUGGGUGGCGAGUGGCGGACGGGUGAGGAAUACAUCGGAAUCUACUCUUUCGUGGGGGAUAACGUAGGGAAACUUACGCUAAUACCGCAUACGACCUACGGGUGAAAGCGGAGGACCUUCGGGCUUCGCGCGAUUGAAUGAGCCGAUGUCGGAUUAGCUAGUUGGCGGGGUAAAGGCCCACCAAGGCGACGAUCCGUAGCUGGUCUGAGAGGAUGAUCAGCCACACUGGAACUGAGACACGUUCCAGACUCCUACGGGAGGCAGCAGUGGGGAAUAUUGGAGAAUGGGCGCAAGCCUGAUCCAGCCAUGCCGCGUGGGUGAAGAAGGCCUUCGGGUUGUAAAGCCCUUUUGUUGGGAAAGAAAAGCAGUCGGUUAAUACCCGAUUGUUCUGACGGUACCCAAAGAAUAAGCACCGGCUAACUUCGUGCCAGCCGCCGCCGUAA
rnacentral:rRNA from 1 species